GAUGAAGAACGCAGCGAAAUGCGAUAAGUAAUGUGAAUUGCAGAAUUCAGUGAAUCAUCGAAUCUUUGAACGCACCUUGCGCCCUUUGGCCAUUCCGAAGGGCAUGCCUGUUUGAGUAUCAUGAACACCUCAACUCUCAUGGCUCGCCAUGAUGAGCUUGGAUUUGGGGGUCUUGCUGGCCUGUGGUCGGCUCCUCUCAAAUGGAUCAGCUUGCCAGUGUUUGGUGGCAUCACAGGUGUGAUAACUAUCUGCGCUUGUGGUUUUCCAUCAGAUAACCUUCAGUGAUGGAGGUUCGCUGGAGCUCAUAAACGUCUCCCCUAAGCGGGGACAGCCCUUUGAAUGUUUGAUCUCAAAUCAGGUAGGACUACCCGCUGAACUUAAGCAUAUCAAAUAAGCGGAGGA
rnacentral:misc_RNA from 1 species